rnacentral:rRNA from 1 species
UACGAGGGGAGCAAGCGUUGUUCGGAUUUACUGGGCGUAAAGGGCGCGUAGGCGGCCACGACAAGUCACUUGUGAAAUCUCCGGGCUUAACUCGGAACGGGCAAGUGAUACUGUCGGGCUAGAGUACAGAAGGGGCAACUGGAAUUCUCGGUGUAGCGGUGAAAUGCGCAGAUAUCAGGAGGAACACCUAUUGCGAAGGCAGCGCGCUGGGACGUAACUGACGCUGAGACGCGAAAGCGUGGGGAGCAAACAGG